rnacentral:rRNA from 1 species
UACGUAGGGGGCGAGCGUUGUCCGGAUUCAUUGGGCGUAAAGAGCUCGUAGGCGGCUUGGCAAGUCGGGUGUGAAAACUCCAGGCUCAACCUGGAGACGCCACCCGAUACUGCUGAUGGCUGGAGUCUGGUAGGGGAUCACGGAAUUCCUGGUGUAGCGGUGAAAUGCGCAGAUAUCAGGAGGAACACCAGUGGCGAAGGCGGUGAUCUGGGCCAGUACUGACGCUGAGGAGCGAAAGCGUGGGGAGCAAACAGG